rnacentral:lncRNA from 1 species
UUUUUUAGUCAUAUAAAUCACUUGUAAAGAUCAAGAUUGAAAUACAAGAAUACUCUAAAAUUCUCCAAAAUUCUUCAUUGUAGCAAAGCUUUUUUUAUGAUUUUAGAGUUUAAAUUCAAUUUUUUUUUUCUCUUUAGAGUUUUUAAACCCUAGAUCUAUCUUUUUUUGUAUUGCCCUACCUAGAGGCCUUUUUUUGUCUCACCGCCGCCACCACUAGAGUCGACGGACUUUCCUUGGCCAGCCAUCCAACUCUGAAGCCAGAACUCCAUGCGUGUGAGGCUUGCCCCUUUCCUUCCCGGCACGUGAGGUUCUGUUCGACACCGCUUUCCUACGCAAUCUUCUCCGGUGCCCUUUUUGACUUCUUUACGACCAUCUUUUGCUGCUACCUGGUCUUUUGGUGAUUUGGUUAGGCUCUCUUUGUGUACAACCUUGGAUACCUCCUAUUCUUUCACGUUUCAUUCUUUUUAUCAUGACAGAUAGAAGGUAAAAAGGUUUCAAUUUCUAACUCUAAUAACCCUUUGUUGCAAAUUAGUUUGGUAAAACUUUAUGGAAUCAAUUAUCUUGCUUGGUCAAGGUCUUGUUUGUUGUUUAUCAAGGCUAAAGAACUGCAGGACUAUGUCAUUGGAAAUAAGAAGCAAUCGGAUGUGAGUGAUCCAGAUUUUUUCCAAUGAGACUCGAAUAAUUGUCUUGUUAUGAUAUGGUUACUUAACUCUAUGCAACUUCAUAUCUCUAAGUCCUAUUUGCUACUUGAUAUUGCUGCAAAGAUAUGGGAAGGCUUUGUCCUUAAUUUAUUUCAAGAUUGGGAAUGAUGCCCAAAUUUAUGAUAUUCGGAAUAAGAUCCAUGGUACUAAGCAAGGAGAAAUGACUGUCACCCCAUUUUAUUUUGAGUUAUGUGGCUUAUGGCAGAAACUUGAUUAUUAUUAGCACUUUCAGGUAGACCGUUUUAGAGAUACAGUCAAAUUUAAAAAAAUAAUCGAAAAGAAGCGGGUCUAUGAUUUUCUUGUAGACUUGAACAAUGAAUAUGAUCUAAUUCGGGUCCAAGUUUUGGAUAAAGACUCUUUUCCUUCACUAGAAAGGGCACAUGCCUAUGUUUAACAAAAGAAAGUCAUCGACAUGCUAUGCUCUAUACUGCACCAGUGAUUGGCUACUAGUUUGAGAACACUGCAACCUCCUAAUUCUGAGAAAGAUCGCCUGUAUUGUGACUAUUGUAGGAAAUCGAGACAUUAAGGAGGCUUACUGAAAGUUAUAUGGUUGUCCCACUAGAGGCCGUGGGGGAAAUGAAAAUUUAUCAUAAACUGUGGAGGAUCCCCUUAAGGAGACAACAGACGUUGAGUUCGUUUCCUCUAAUAAAAUUUAGAGUCUCAAGCGCUUUUUGUCUUUUAUUCACACCUUUUCCUCCUCUGAUGCCACAUCUAACUUUGUGAAGUCAGUUAAUGCUUCCUCUGUUGAUACUGUCCUAUGGAUUAUUAAUUCUAGUGCAAAUAGACAAAUGACAGGCUCUUGUAAAGGUUUUCUCACUUAUUUUUCUUCUCUAAUCAAAGACAGUAUUAGAAUUGGUGAUGGCUUUUUUACUCCUAUAUCCAGAACAAAUUUUGUUAUUUGUGCACCCAAUAUUAAAUUAUCAUAUGUUCUUCAUGUUCUACAUUUUUCUGUCAAUCUUUUAUAUGCCAGUGUUAUCACCAAUGCUCUUAACUGUAAAAUUGAAUUAUUUCCUGAUCAUUGUGUUAUUCAAGACCUUUUCAUAGGGAAGAUGAUUGGCAAUAGUAGACUACAUGAUGGCUUAUAUAUGUUGGAAGGUGAUCCAAGUUUUAUGAUAUCUCAAGCCUAAUUUAGAGAAAAUAAGAAUAUCAAUCAGGAAAUAAUAUAGUGUCACAGGCGGUUAGGGCAUCCAUAAUUUUUUAUGUUAGAAAAAUUUUAUCCUAAUUUGUUUGUUAGAACUCAGUUUGUUCUUUAUUUUGUAAUGCUUAUAAGUAUGCUAAGCACACUAGAACUCCUUAUCCUUUGAGUCAUAAUAGAAGCCAAAUUCCUUUUGUAACUAUUCAUUUUGAUGUUUGGGGGUCUACUUAAACUGUAUCCUUAUCUCCUUAUCUGGUAAUCGAUGGUUUGUUACUUUUAUUAAUUGUUGUACUUGGAUGACUUGGGUAUAUUUGAUUAAAGCUAAAAGUGGUCUUUUCUUAUUUUCAAUUUUUUCACAAAAUGAUUCGUACUCAAUUUGAUAGGUGAAAAGAUUUUGAGAACUGACAAUGGAAGAGAACAUAUGGAUAGUAGGUUUUUUGCAUAUUUAGACUCCAAUGAAUAGUAUACCAGACAAGUUAUUCUGGUACUAGUGCACAAAAUGGGGUUGCUGAAAGAAAAAACAAACAUCUACUGGAAGUAGCUCGAUCGCUUUUGUUCAUCAUGAAUCUAUCCAAAGCAUAUUGGUGAGAUGCAGUUCUUGUAUUUGCUUAUCUUAUCAUUCGAAUGCCCCUCAAAACCUUCGACUUUAUGAGUCCUUUGGAGGUUCUACAAGGAAGAAAUUUAUAUAUUGUUCCACCAAAAAAAUUUGGGUGUGUUUGCUUUGUCCAUACUAGGACGACAAGAAAGUUGGACCCGAAGACCCUCACAUGUGUGUUUGUUGGGAGUUAUCACCCUCCAUCUGGGAAAUACUUUGUCGGUAUGGAUGUUAUCUUCAGAGAAACUGAACCCUAUUUCAGUAUCACCUAAUCACCUUUCCAGAGGGAGAAUAAUGAGCAAGAAGAGGUGAUCUCUAAUUUCGUGAUUCUGAAUGAUCUGGUUUAGACAGAGAGUUUUAGUAGACAGGGGAGACAUCUAAUUAGGGGGAAAGAAUUGGAUGUUUGGAUAAGCCGGAUUUGAGGAGGUAUUUGAGGAGAGACAAGGUAGAAGAAGCCAUUUUGCAGCCUACUCAGAGUCAAGAAUCUUCUUUCUCUUCUUCUGGUGAGUCAUCCUCAACUGUUGAAUGCUCCAAUGAUUUAGAUAAACCCAUUGCACAUGUGUCAAAUCUCGUAUCAAAUACUCUAUUUCUAACUUUGUUUCUUAUGAAUUCUUGUCUCCCUCUUAUAGAGUUUUUGUCUUGUCUAUUUCCUAUGUGUCUAUUCUAUAGGAAACCAGCACUGGCAAAAAAUGAGACAUGGGAGCUUGUCUCUCUUCCACCUGGAACGAAACUAGUUGGCUAUAAGUGGGUAUCCAUAGUGAAAUAAAAAGCUGAUGUACAAUUAAACAAUUUAAAGCUAGAAUGGUUGCUAAAGAUUUCAUCCAAAGGUAUGGAGUGGAUUAUCAAGAGACAUUUGCCCCAAUUGUAAAAAUAAACUCAAUCAGAGUCCUUUUAUCUUGUGUAGCCAAUUUGGGCUGGGACUUACGACACUUUGAUGUGAAGAAUGUAUUUCUCCAUAGAGAUUUAGAGGAAGAGGUGUUCAUGGAGAUCCCUUUUGGGUUUGCUGACGAGAAAAUAUAAGGAAAGUUGUGCAAAUUAAAAAAAGUUUUGUAUGAGUUAAAACAAUCUCACGGAGCUAGGUUUGACAGACUUAUCAGAGCCAUGAUGUCCUUUGGUUACUAACAGAGCAAUGUUGAUUAUACUCUGUUUAAGAGAAAAUGACUCAACUAAAAAGGUUAAUAGCUUAAGAAUUUGAAAUAAAAAAUUUAGAAAAACUUUAAUAUUUAAUAGAUAUUGAGCUUGCCAGAUUAGGAAAAAAAAGGAUCUUUAUUUCUAAAGAAAGUACAUUCUGAAUCUUUUGGAAAAAACUAAUAUGUUAGGGUGUAAACCAGCAAUAUCUCCCAUUGAAAGUAAUGCAAGCAAGAAUUAGUGAGUCUGUGGAUGUUGGGAUAUACUAGAUUGGUAGGAAGGUUGAUUUAUCUCUUGUACACUCGACCGGACAUAGUCUAUGCUAUUAGCUUAGUCAGCCAAUUCAUGCGUGAUAUGCAUGCUGACUUUCGCUUCUUUACUCCAAACAUGGUCACUUCCGAGUUGAAACUUUUAUAGAUGCAGAUUGGGCAGGAUCUUAAUUUUGGGCUACUGCACAGUUGUGAGAGGGAACCUUGUCAUUGAAAAAGCAAAAAAUAAAGUGUUGUUGCUCAAUCAAGUGCUGAAGCACAAUACAAAGUCAUGACUUAAGGCCUGUGUGAACUUUUAUGGUUGCAAAAGUUAUUGGUGGAGCUGAGGUUGCCCGAGAGACAAGAUAAUUUUGUAUUGUUACAACAAAGCUGCCAUCAAUAUAGCACAAAAUUCAGUUCAACAUGACCAAACGAAGCACAUUUAGAUCGAUAGACACUUCAUUAAAGAAAAUUAACGGACAGUAUCUUGAGUUUAAUUUAUGUGACUUCUACUGGGUGGCUUGUAGAUGUAUUUAUUAAAGGGCUUAACAAUAGAAUUUAUCAUAAUCUGAUUUGCAAUUUGGGCAUGUGCGACAUCUAUGCACCAAUUUGCCGGGGAGUGUUGACUUAUUUGCUAAUUUCUAGUGAUAUGAUUUGAUUACUGAUUUUAGGCAUAAAUUAGUAUUCUUAAUUAUUAAUUAUUUUUGUAGUUAUUUGAUUAUUUGCUUUCCUUUUAGUCGUAAUUUUGUGUAUAAAUAGUCAUAUAAAUCAUUAGUAAAGGUCAAGAGUGAAAUACUUUAAAAUUCUCCAAAAUUCUUCAAGUUAUAAUUAAUAUAUUAAAAAAUAUACUAAAAAACAUAGAUCGAUGAAUUUACUGGACAUUAUUUAAAAGUGAAAUAGAGGAUCCAAUUCUCUUGGCAGUUGAAGUGAAUGCCAUUUGAUUGUGCUCUUUUGAAAAAUGAGUAAACAAAAACCAUCAAGCCAUCUGCUUUAUUAUCCAAAGUUUUUCUAAUUUUUCAGCAUUUGUUAAUUGCUGCGGAGGCAUCCUUUAAUCCCUAAUUUCUAUUGUGUUUCAAGGAGAAUUCGUUUAUCCAAAAUUAAAGUUGGACAACUGAUUUAUAACACAUAUCAAUAUGGGUUUGAUUAUUUAAAAGAUACAUACAAAGCUCAAAUUGAAUCAUAAUGUAUGCAUAAUGACAAUAAAGUUCCUUUUAAGUGUGAGCAAAAUCUAGAUAUCUAUCUAUAUUCAUAUUGCCUAUCGCAGGUUCAAGGUUUUUUCACAUUUUAUGAAAUCAUUCCUGUGUACAACAGAUAUAAAGUUGAAAUAAAAUCAAAUUUAUCAAUGCUUUGCAUUUGAACAUAUCAAUACUUGCAAUUCUGUAGGAUCUUGUUGAAGGAGCAACUAUAGGAUGCUUAUCACCAUAUUUCUCCGCAUAUUCUUUAAACCUAUAUCAAAAUAUUGACACAUGAAUUAAAUCUUAUAAUAUAUCAUAGAAAUAUAUAAUUGAAUAUCUACUACAACUAGAACACAAUAAGCUACAUAUAAGGAUAGAAAAUAACAUCCAACGAAAUAAAAACGAAUAGAACUACUUAAUUGAAGAAAAUAUACAAUAUAUUAUUGUAUCUUGUAUUCAUUCAUAAAUUCUCUUGAUUAAUAGGAUCAACUUAACUAGAAGUUUUAUAACAUUGGGUUAUGUAAUACUUUAUGAUUAAAAUAUUAUUUAAAAACAUGGCUAGACAUGCCUUAAAUCAUUUCUUAUUUUCAAAUUUUUUAAUUCUAUUUGUUUAAAAUUAAAAUUAUGAUAUAUAAAAAACAAUGUGUAUACAACACUAAAUAAAAGUUUCAGCACAGAUGGGAGUAUAUUAAUAUUAAAUUAAUAUAUUAAAAAUAUAAUCAUAAAAAUUUAAAUUUCUUGAUAUGUUUUACAAUUAUAAAUUUUAAACUUAAUUAAGUGGAAGUUAAAUGCAAGUAGGAUUAAUAAAUUUAAAUUGAUAUAAACUCUUAAAUUAAUUCAAAUAAUUAAAAAUAAUGUAAUUGUAAAUAAUAUGAAAGUGAAGGAUGUUUUUGUACAUCCCAUUAUUCCCCCUCCCCCUUCCCACAUUUAUAUGUAUUAAUAUUAAUAUUAUAGAUUAUGGAUGUGCUCCAUUUGUCAGUCGAAUUGCAGGUUCUUAGGAUAACUGACAGAUCCUUUUAUGCAGGAAUUGAAGUCAAACAAGCCAUCUAAACUUGGAUCUAUAGGUAACUGGCUUCAGUGUAAAGAGCUUAUUGAUGGUGAAGGAGAAAGUGCUAAUGGAACUAUAUGUGGAAAGUGGCGCAGGUAAGCCAAAUAACGGUGAUAUGAAUGAGCUUACUUUUGGGUUUAUUUUAACUUGCAUAUAAUAAGAAACUUUAGAAGUUUCACAUAUGCCUGUUAGAAUAUCCAACUCUAAAGCUCAGAUGUUGAUUGCAAGGCUUCUGCUCAAUAACCUCUACUGUUCUUAUUGAGCUGACUCUUAAGCUCUAGAAAUACUUGAGGAGUAGCUUUCAAUAAAGUGUCAUAACUUCUAUGUUUCAAACAGAACUAAGUACAUGGAGAAUUUACAAUCACCAACAAUGUGCAUGUGAAUCAUAAUAUUUACGGCCUAUUUUUUCACAAUUCCCUAAAUUUGUGAGAAUUUUCAGCUCUAAUACAUAGUUUCAUUUUAAUUAAUUUCCUACUUUCUAUAAUUGAUAGCAAAUUAGCAAUUGUAUCUAGGUGAUAAGAAUCAUUCCAUGAUGCACUUGUCUAAGGAGCUAUAACUGAGUUGGCACGGUGACAUAUUUAGGCAAGGUAAAUACAAUUUGAAUGAUUGAUUGGGCACUGCAUAAAGUUGUUUACCCCUUUGAAUUUCUCUAUCAAUUUUCAAACCUACAACAAUUUGGGGUUUAGACAACUUUGAGUAGGUCUUCUAGCCAACCAUUUAGAUCCUAUUCACAAAUGCUCAGCCAUGUCAGCAUGCCAAUUUAGUGCAAGCUUGAUGUAAAUACACCUCAUUGUGUUAUUCUUAUUCUAAAUACAAUCACCUUAUAGAGAAUGUGGUGCUGUAUUUUACAUACUAGCAUAUUACUCACAUUGCAUAAUAGCCUUGCAUAUGUUACUACUUAUAAUUGAAAAAAGUGAUAGUCAAAUAAAAGGACAAAAGAUCAAAGAAAAUUACCGUAUCUUCUUUAAGCCUUUUGAUAUUGAUGAAAAUUGAGAAUAAAUAUUUAGAAAUUUGAUUUCAGCCUAAGUUUUUAGGGUUAUGAAAAAUAAGUAGGAAGGAGCAUGUGGCUGAGAAAGGAUGGGAGUUUAAAGAAAGGUGGUAGCAACUUUAAAUGGUGUAAUGGUUAUUACUAUCAUUACAGAAAUUGUGACACAUUUUCUAAUUGCCAUUUUGGGUUAAUUGACUAUUACAUGGUUCAUGCCACUCUAUAAUGUCCAUUAGGUGCAUGUUGAUUUCUUUUCAUUGUGACUCAAUCAUCAAAUCAAAUAAGAAGGCUAGAAUUCCGUUAAUUACUGAUCAUAUUCUAAUUCAUAUAUGUAGUUGAUACCUUGUGUCAGUGAGGCCAUUCUGAAAUAUGAGUGGCAUUACUUUACUAGUGAACUUUAAAUAUGAGAUCGAAGAAAGAAGUUUUAGCUUCCAUGUCCAUAAAUUUUGGUCGUCUUCGAAGUUUUCAGUUGAUGUGGAAUCUCACUGCAAGACUCAAAAGUUUUUGGCCCUAAAUAUUAUUGAAAAAUAUUGGGUCAUUGAAUUUAGAGUUUAGAGUUUAAGAAGCCCUUUGUUAUCGUGGAUGCGGCUUUUGGAACUUUAUAGUUUAUAUGGAUACUUGUUCACAUAGGAAGCCCUUUCUGACACCUCUAGUGUACAAAAAAAGGCAGGGGUCAUUCAACAAGCAGUUGCCUUAUGUGCCUUGGCGCCUUGUGGUGUGGACACAACCAUACAAGUCUCUAAAAUGGCACGCCUUCUUAUUUCCACCUUUAGUGAGCACUUGCAUUGGCUCCACUCAAAAUUUGCUGAUCUACCAAGCCAAUGUUCUCUUCACUAUUUUUGGACUCCUUUAGCCCUUUUUUUCCUGGUGUGUUUGAAGUUGUCCUUUUUUAAAUACUAAUGACGAUGCUGUAUGGGUCUUUUAUUUCAGUAUUUUUUUUUUUUUACAAAAAGAGACUAACAUGCUUUUUAGGUAAUUUUUUUUUUUGGGUUACUUGCCAUCUAUUUCUAAAGAAAAUAAAUAUUAACUUGUUAUUUAGGUCCUCUGUUUCUAAGUUAUCUAAAGUUGCUUUAUUUGUUUGAAUAUCAAAAUUUGGGAUUUAUUUUAUUUUUUUAGAUGUCCAAAUUUUGUUGUUUUAUUUUCUAUUGAGUUCCAAAAAUGAAUGAUGGAGAAGUUUUAUUUAUUUUGUAUUUUUUUAUGCUUAUUAGUGCCUGUAAAUUGGUAAUUUUGAUAAGUUUGGUUUAGACCUGUAUCUAUUAUUAUUAUUUUUAUUUUUUAUUAAUUUCUAUUUUUCUGAGCCUCAGUUCAUUCAGGUGCAUGUCUGCUUCUUGCGCCUUGUACCUAGGGCCAAGAUUCCUUUUCGCUAAUGCGCUUUGAGUUUCUCAUACCAUGUUUUCAUGUAUGAAAUACAAGCCAGCUUGCCUGUUUUUCUUAAUUCCACAUAUUUUUCCACUAACCUUAAGUGAGAGUUUAUAUAUAUGUACCUAAGGUAGAUACUUUAUGAUAGAGAGGCAACUAUGGUUGCGAACUUGCCAGUAUUGGAGUUAAAGUAAUGUAUAAAGUAGCUAAUUCAAUCAGUCAAAACCACAAAAUACUUUGAAACUACAGGUGGAAACAUGAAAUGGAAACUACUUGUGCAUAUGCCAAUUUAUUGCCCAAGUAUAAUAUUUAAUAUGGGUGUGCAUGUAAUUGGAAAAGCAGAGGUUAGACAGAAGGCGAGAAUAAAAUAUUUGCUAGUUUCCCAUUGAAAAUCCAAGCUGCUAAUUUCAUCUACUUAUAAACCCUACAAUGAGGCUGGCACUUUCAUUUUGUUACUUCAGACAUACUGGGUUAGAGGAUAUGGAAAUAUUACCGAUCUAUUGAGUUUUUGGGUUAGAGAAUGUGGAAAAGUUACUGACCUGCUGGGUUGGAGGCUGUGGAAACUUUAUCGACCUAUUGGGUUAGAGAAUGUGGAAAAGUUACUGGCCUGCUGGGUUAGAGGCUGUCGAAAUUUUAUUGAUCUGUUGGGUUAUGGGAUGUGGAAAUGUUACUGAUCAUGGGUUAUAGGAUGUGGAAAUGUUAGUGAUCUUGGGAAAUUUUUAUGGCAAUAUCCCUAUAAACAGUACAUAGUUUGCUUUGCUGCAAGUGAAUAAGGGUGAACCUGUCAUGCCUUAGAAUGUACAUUUUCCUGAACCUUUUGGUGAUCUAUGUUGCAACCUGCUAAUAUGAAGAAUGUCUCCAGUCGAUAAUAAGUUCAAUAGCUUUCUUUGCACUUUGUUAGUGUUGUACCAUGCCAAGGUCAUUUGUCAUUAUAUUAGGAUGUGUUUGUGGUUGUAUUUGGUGCUUUGAGCUUAUCAUAAGCCUAUUAUGACUUGUUAGGGGUUUUCACCCUGACGUUGCAUUCAAUUGAAUUGUGUGGUCAUGUAGGAUAACCUGCAAGUCUUAGAUAGUUUCUGAUGGAUCAGAAAGUAAAGACCCUCUGACUCACGUCAUCUACUAAUAAUUUGCUUUGUUGAAAGAUCCAGACACAACAAUUUAGUGCACUAGUGAGUUUACUAAUGGAAAGCAAAUUAAAGGAGAACUUAGAAAGACAUAACACAAAGGAUACAGAAAGAGAAGAUGCUAGGUUGACAUGUCAUAAGCAAGAGUAAUAUAAGAAGACGAUAUAUAAGACUUAAGAUUGGACAAAAGGGUAGAAUUACCUUAUAUAUGAUCGGUAGCAUCAGAAUCAAUAACCCAUUUUGAGGAUGAAGACGCAAGGCAUGUAGUAGAGUUACUUAACUCAGCAAUUGCAGUGAUAAGAGUGUUAGAGGAUUUCAGAGAUGCCUGAUAUUGAGUGAAUUAUACAUACUCAUCUGUAAAUAUCAAAAUUCCUUGAUCAGGAGAAGUCUCAAUUGCCAUGUGCAUCAUUUGUGAGCAUUGAUUCUUAUUUUGAAGUUUCAGGCAUGUCUUCUUAGUGUGUCUAGAUUCACGACAAUAAUAACAAAUGAUUCCACCAGAGUCAAAAGUAGAAAUUGCUUUUCCAGGACGCUGAGAUCCUCUACUACUAUUAAAAUCUCCCCUAUUCUCACUUUUGUUAUUCUGUCUGCCAUUGUUAUUGCUACUAACAAGGGUACUAGUGGUGUGUGAAGGAACUGGAGAGGAAGAUUCUGUAUGCAACACCCUAGUGAAACAUCAUGUAACGAUGAUAUUUCAAAAGUAGAAAGAAUUUGAGAUUUAACUGUCUCAAACUCCUGCAAGGAAGCUCAUAACAGUCAUUUGCCACGAUGAUAUUUCAAAAGUAGAAAGAAUUUGAGAUUUAACUGUCUCAAACUCUUGCAAGGAAGCUCAUAACAGUCAUUUGCCACGUUGAACUUGUUGAGUUUUCACAUUUGUACUAAAAAGCAUCAAGACAUUAAGUUUUUUCUAAACUCUUUAAAAAUCCAUAAAAUAUAAGGUCAAAGUUCUAUCUUGUUUCUCAGCCCAAUAAAACGCCUUAUACACCUUAUAAAUGCGAGAAAUAUUCAUUUUAUUUGAGUAUAAAAACUCCAAAUAAUCUAUUAAUUCUUUAAUAAAUUCACAGUGAUUAAUAAGACUGAUUAUCUCACUAUGAAUGAAAUUUCGGAUCUUCAAAAAUAAUCGAGCUAUCCCUUAUCCAAUCUUUCCUAGUGUCAUAAGUUGGAGGAUCCUUAGUAAGGUGAUCGUCUAUUUUGAUACUUCGUAAAUAAAUACGGAUAGUCUUCCUUCAAUCUAGAAAAUUAGAUCUAUUUAAUUUAUGUUCUGCGAUUUUAGUCAUCACAGAAAUCACAUCAGCUAUGGUAUUUUUAAUUUUAGCCAUGGAAACAAUCCAUACAAAUCGGCACAAAAAAAAAAGUGACGUGAACGGUAUCCAAAAAUGCAAUCCAACCCAAAAAUACCUCCGCAAAACACCCAAAUGGCGAACUGACCAUAAAACUAAAGGGAUGACCUCGGGGCAACACCAGCGAUGGUGACCGGAGCACAGUCGGACACGUGACACGCCUCCACAUGCCUGCGAGUGGGACGGCAGGCUACUCACCGGUCGACAAUCGUCGGCUCUUCAUGGAAGCGUCGCCGGCUCUCCGGCGUCCUUCCUAGAUGGACAGUGAGAGAUAAAUAUCACCCUAUAAGGGUGAUUUAAAAGAAUAGGACAAAUGGAGCCCUAAGUCUCCAAAUUGAACAUAAAAAAAUAUAAUAAAUCUUUUGUCUACAAGACCCUGUUACCAUGUAGAAAAUUAAUAUUUUUUGUGUAUAUUACAAUAGGGAUUACAAUAUAUUUAUAUAUGAAAAACCAAGGGAAUCUUUUUAUCAAACCUAUGAUCACGAUUAAGCAACUAACAAAUCUAUCCAUAUUUACUUUCUAUAACAGUUUUAAAGUUGUGUUUAAAAGUAAUUUUUCAAAUCUAUAGUUUAAAGUUGUAUUUAAAAAUAAAUUUUUAAAUACAUGAUUUUGAAGUUGUGUUUGAAAGUAUAUUUUUUUAAAGUUUAAGCGUUUAAAAUAUAUAUAUAUAUUUUUAAGUUUAGGUGUUUAAAAGUAAUGUUUUUUAAAAUUUAGGUGUUUAUUAGGGCAUGAUUAAAGUUGAGAUGUCUAAUAGGUAAAAAUUCUAAAGUACAAGUGUGCAAAUAUGCAUUUUGCCAAAAUUUAUUCUAUAAUGGCUGUUUCAUUACAUAACAGUUGUUACCAUGAUAGCAAUUCGAGUAUAAAGUGCUUGGUAGUUUAACAGUUAAGGUAAUAGUCAUAUUAUAUAAUUACCAAGAAGGGCAUUUUUAGUUUUGUUACAUUUUAUUUACUGUAUUGAUUAUAAACAAAUGAGUUUCUAUCUUUUAAAUUAACUUUUUUGUAGUACAAGCUUCUAUUUACAUAAAAUUAUUGUUUUGUAUAUAUAUAUAUUCACACACACACACACAUGCACACACAUAAAUGUUUUCAAUUCUUAAAAAAAGUCAAAUGUAUAAAUAAAUGAUUUAUUGUAUUGUUAGAUUAUUAGUAAUUAUUUCUGUAAUUAUUUUGAAAUUUAAUCGCAUGUGUUGGGUCCAAGAGAUAGGAUUUAUAGCUUGUACAACUUUUGCUGCUCUUUGCUAAAAAAUAAAAUCUAGCUGCUUUCUUUUUUUGUUUACCGAACACUUAUAGAUCUCUGUUGGGCAAACUAUUAAACUGCUCAUAAAACUGAAUCAAUCGGGCGCUAAAUAUAAUGCAUGAUAUGCUUUCCUAUUGGAUAAAUCACAUUAUUGAAGCACUUUCCCUGGUUCAGAAAGGGAACAAUACUGCAGUUGAGCAAUGGAUUCCUUUUGAGAUCUUAGGAGAGGAUUGAUUCUUCAGUAGGAUACAGUUUCCAACUUGAUUUGUUUAAUUCACUGUGAUCACUUGCCAUCUCAUUUGUUCAAUGCCAUUGACCUAUUCCUGUGAAAAACGGAAAAUUAACAAAUUUAAUUAUUAUUAUUAUUUUAAUUUGGAAUAUCCCAGUUAAAUGCUAAAUUAUCAUGUAAUUACAUAUCUUCUUGAUAUGGGAGCAUAAUGUGACAAAUAUGAUACUAUCUUGAAUUGAGGCUCUAUAUUCCACUAUGAUUGAGACAUGGCAUUUUAUAAGGUUCACAAACCAAGAAAAUCCUAAAAUAAUUUACUUUUAUCAUAGUUAAUAGCCUACAUUGCUGUACUGAUAUUUUCCUCUAAGUGGUUCUAUUUAAGAUGUCUAUGAUUUCCAAGCAUUCAGGGACCUUUUUUGCUGUCUUUUCCUAUUUUUCUCUUGUUUUCACAUUUGACAUCUUGAUGCAUGUGCCUGGGUGUUGCUUGUGUGUCUCUUGUCUGAAUUGACCUCACUGAUCAUGUUAGUGUCUCUUGUUAAUUGUCGAUGAACCUUAUCUUCUGUCUUGACGUAACAGGGCUCCCUUGUUUGAAGUCCAAACUGAUGAUUGGGAGUGCUUCUGUUCCUUUCUUUGGGACCCGAUUCAUGCUGAUUGUGCAGUACCUCAGGUGAUUUAAGUUUCCAAUUUUGAUGUUUCUGCAUCUUUCUAUAUUAGUUUUUUGGCCUUAUAGAUGAUGAAAACACUUUUAUAUUUCUUCUCUAGAAGUCUGAAGACAAAAUGGCUUGGAAGUCCCAAAAUUUGUAUGCUGCUACUGUUUUGAGAAUUGCAUGCUUAGGCCUGUGAUUAAAAUCAUUGCUUUCAAGAGUCUCUCAUAAUUGGUUCGCAAUCAUGGUCUAGGAAAAGGCGAUGAAUAUUUUUGAUAUUGUGUUUCAACAUGCUUCUUUUUAUUACUGAAAUGCUUGAAUACCGAGCUUACAAUCUAAAUAAAUGAGAUUCUUGUGUUGUCAUUCUAUCAUGGCAAUCUGUGAUUAGCUGAAAAUCUCAGCUUGCAGGUGGAAAUUAUCAGUUGGUGAAUCUAUCUUAAACUAUUGAACAUUGUCAUCUACAAUGUUGUUUGAUAUUAUUUCAAUCCACUAAUUUGGUUACAUUUAUGUAAUCAUCUUUAAUUCAUGUUUCCAAACAGGACUAAUGCCUUGUAAAAUAUAAAUAUCUUUUAGAAGAAAAAAUAAAAAUAGACAUUGUACUUAUCAACGUUCAAACUUGCAAAUAAAUAAAACAAAUCAGUCAGGAAGAAGCUCCUGUAUCCAAAACCCUUUGAGCUACCUUUGUAUGCAUUUUUUCAUUUGUAUCUAUAAAAAUAGGCUACAAGUGAAGCUUCAUAUAUUCUUUAACUAAUUGCUAUAGUUAUACAAGGUUUAUAUGCUAUAUUUCCCUUUUAAAUUGGCUAAAAUUAUUAUCAUUGAUAGGUUUGGCUAAAAAUGAUUAAAAAAGGAUGGGAUAAAAUUGAAAGACAUGAAAAUUUGAAGAUUUUUCAUGGUCAUCAGGCCUUUCAAAUUUAACCAAGGGAUUUAUUUUUGGAAGGUCCUUGUUUUGUUUCCUCUGUACAUACCAGUCCUGUUAUUCUAAUCUUAAUAGUUUUAAAAGUCUGAUGUUGAGUGAGUGAAUCUAUCCCUUUGAUGUCAUGUAGAAUCUGUUGCAAACUGGUUCUCAUUAAUCAGCCAGUAGAAUGAGUUGAAUUAUUUAUAAGAUCUUAGGGUAUUCUUUUCUUUUUUUUUAAUUCACUUUUCACUAAAAUGAUGGGUGCUUCUGGUAGGGCUAUAAAUGAGCCAAACUUGAGCAUAAUUUUUAGCCUCGUUUAGUAAACAAGCUAAGUACGGGCGUGUUCAUAGAUUCACAAGCUAGUUCAUGAAUAUGCUUAUUUAAUUAACAUCAUUUAGUUUUAAACAUAUCAUUUUUAAACUAAGACUCGUUAAGAUUAUAAAUUAAUUGAGUUAUUCGUGAGUUAUUCGAAAUUUGCCUCGAUAAAAGCUGGGCUUGUCUUGGCUUGUUUGCUAAGUGAACCAAGCUUUAGCUUAUUGAUGUUUGACUUGAGUUCGAAAUGCAUCAAGCUUGCAUUCAGCUUGAGCUCGAAAAGUUUUUGAUGAACCAAACUUAAGUUCUAAAGUUUGGCUCGACUCAGUUCAUUUACACUCUAGCUUUUGGCUUACUUUUUCAUUCAAUUCCAGGUAGCAGUUGAAGAUUGAACAUUCAUAAAGGAAGUUCAGUAUGGAAUUUCUGAACUGUGGGGUACCUGCAUAUAACCAGUUCAUAUAUGGAGGAAAGCUCAAUUUUGCCCCAGAAAUUUUGGCCCAUGUCCAAAGAAACCCAGUUUUAUGUUAUUGUUACUAUUAUUAUCGGGUAAAAAUUAGGUCUAUUUGAACUUAAAUGGAAAGUUUUGGGUUAAUUUGGACAAAAACUUAAAAAUGGGUUUAUUUGGAGAAGGCCAACAAUUUAGGGCAAAAUUGAACUUUAUCUUGUUUAUAUAUUGUGGUGAUUGGACCUCCAUGUAGAUCUGGCCAUGUCAAACCCAGUACCAAAACCAUUCAACAGUUUGUGGCUUCAACUGGACCUGAACUGUCUUGGGAGGGCUAGUCCCAUUUGUUCUCUCCUUGAACUGAAUCAAACCAGAAUUGGUGAUCCACUCUAUUUUGAACUGGCUUUCAAAAAAAAAAAAAAAAUAGGAAAAAUUUUUCAGUCACUGGAUUGAGUUAACUGGAUUGAACUUGGAUAAAACUGGAACCAGAACUGAAUCAAAACCAGUCCAGUUCAGGGCCUCUGGUUCCACAGAACUUGACCAGAAGCUACCAGUGGUUGCCUCUUCUUCCUUGUGCACUUGCUGUGUCUUUGUAAUGGUUUAGAAGCAGUGUUGCUCCUCAUUUCUUCCAUUAGCGUUGCUGAAUGUAUCAUAGCAUUGAUCACUGACAUUUAAAAAGGGACGCAUUUCAUCAGCUGGGAUUGAAAUAGUUUGGGUGACAUCAUUUUUGCUGUUUUCUUAGCCAGUUGUCUUGAUUAGAUUAUGUAUUUCUUUAACAAAUUUGCUGUAUGCUCAAUUGUAUUCCUGGCCAAAUUUCAUUUUAUGCUGCAGGAGCUGGACACAGAUAAAAUUCUGCAGCAACUCAAGUAUAUUCAGAUGGUAUGCUAUAGACUUUUCUUCAUGGUUUAUAUUGUAAUUCCAUUACAUUAGUGCUUCUUAUUGCAUAAAGUUUUGUGCAUUGGAUGGUGAGGCUGAUGUCUGGGCAGAUAUUGGAUUCCUUAAAAUCUUUACAUUAUUGUUAAAUCCAUUGAGCUCCAAGAUACUGAAGUGUCUAUACAUUGACCUUGAACAUGGACUAAAUCUACAAAAGCAUAAACCUACUUUAAUAUUAUAUAAUAUAGGGAAGACCUUGAAUCUUAAUGUCAAUAUCCACUAUAGUACUUUGUUUCAUCGUUUUGGUUAACAUGAAUUUAUGCUGUGUAGCUGAGACCCCGAUUAUGUGCUAAACGGCGGAAAUUGAACAGCACCAAGAAAGAAGAUGAUUCAAUGGACAAUGAAGAUGAUGUGAGAAAUAUAAGAACUAAAAAAUGAGCAAUCAAUGCUCAUUCAGUGAUUUUGUUGGAAGCAUCUACAGCACUUAUGCUUGUACAUUCCUUCAUUAAAAAAAAAAAAAAAGAAACAAAUCAAAGCCAUGAAUUUCUGAGUUAUCACGGUUGUAUUGAAAUUUUUCUCCGCAGGAUAAUAAUUCGGUAUGAUAAUACAAAGCCAUUAGCUUUUGCCUUGAGUUUUGUGCUUCGUUUGCUUCCUUUUUCAUUACCCUUUUCCUCAGUUGCUGGGUUACUUGAGUUUUAAUGUCAAUACAGCAAGCUUGGGUUUCCAAGUUAUGUAAAUUCUCCUGUUUGUUUGAAUUGAUCUAUCCAUAAAUAGAAAACACCUUUAAUGGAAGAUCUGGGUUUUGGAAAUGUCUUUUUUCCUCUAUUGUUUUCCUAGUUCAUUUUCCUGGAAAAGCAAAUGACUGCAGCUGAUAUACUGAGAUUCUAUUCUGCAAUCUGAUACUGGGAUUACAAUAUGAGCCUAGUAUAGGAUUUUUGGUAAACAUUAUAAGUCUAUUUAUCUGUAAAUUCAUCCCAAGCUCCAGUUCUUAAUUAUUAAUUUUUAAAAUUUAAAUGUUCCAUUUGAGGCAAGACUAGACCUUAAAAAGUGAUAAAUUUAAUGUAUGAGUACUUUAAAUGGCAGAAAAAUUGAUUCUAGAGCAAGUGAAAAAAUGAUUAAAUUCAAGAAAUUAUUAUAAAUAGUCUAAUUGCUAAAUGGAUUUCCUGUUUAAGAACCAUUUGAAAUUCACGAAUGGGAAUAAAUUUACUAGAAAGCAUAUGUCAUUCAUCUAUGCAAAUUAUACAUUGUCAUGUUUAAAACUUGGUAGCAUAAGUUCCCCUUAGCAUAAUGCUGCUUUCAUAUCUAGUGACAACACGAUGAACAUCCUGUAAAAAUGGCCUUAGUCUAUCACUUGCUCCAUGAUGAACAAUUCGGAAAAAGUAAUCAAAGGUUGCUUACUGUAUAAAAUUCUCCUCCUUUAACCACACCCCAUCUUGAGUCCGAAUCUUCACAAUCUGAUUUCGUCCUCUGUUGAUAGUAUAAGAAUGGAAAAACUUUGUAUUCUGAUAAUACACCUAGGUGUUCCAUAAUCUCCUGGACUUUUUGCAUCAUCUGCAUCUGCAUUAUGAAGAAAUGUCGUUUGGAGCUUAUCCAGUCUACAUUUGAGGAAUUUAAUUUCUUUCUGAAUUGCCAAAACGCCCGGCUCCAAUGUGUCAAUUGUAUGUAAUACAACUUCAAUCUAUUCGACAUUUGACCAUGAAGAAUAGGAGUCUGCCAAACCUGCUUAAUGAUUCCCUUACGAAAGAGAAAGUUUGGGUACUCUUUCUGGCAAUAAAAUCAGGCCACGAAAACAAAGGUUCAUCUUUUUCAUGAAUCAACUGACAUUUUACAAAAAGAUUCCACCAUCCUGCGUUACCUGUAGCCUUAUCCAGACGUUCCAUCACCCUACUGUGAUCAUUAUGCUUAUUGAACUAGGUAUAUUCAUUACCUUUAAAUUGGACUUUAAAGCUAGUAGCGCCAAAGAGGCAUGGAUAUUAUAACUCGAAGGAGUUUCCUUUGUAUGGGUAUCAAUAAACAAAGCUAGUACCUCCAAAGAGGCAACUGAACCCACAUUCACAGGGACACGCACGAAUUAAGCUCAUGCAGCUGUAAGACCAGGUUGCUAAGUGGAACAUAGGACUGCUUACCUAAUCAUUGUGCACCAGUCAUAUUAAGCACCGUAUUUGGGGCUUGCCAUGAAGACAACUCUGAUCCCAAUCUACUCUCUUCGUGUCCUUAUCAAACAGGUGGCUUGCUUUCCUCUUCUAAACUCAUCAGAGUAGUGGAAAUGCAAACAACAGAAGGCAUCAUGGAACUUUUCGAGGCUGCAGUACUCGUCAUCACAAUCGAAGAAGGUGGCAAGAAAAUUGUAUCUAUCCCAUCUAAAUGAGCUGCACCCUGAGCAGCAAUUCCAAAUUGCAUGACAUCCAAUAUGGGAGUACAGCCCAUCGAUCCUUCAGUAAAUCGUUGUUAAAUAAAGUUAAAUUAAGGGCAUAACCGAUCAUUUAAAUUAAAUUAAUAAAAAUAGAGUUUUUUAUAACAAUUUUAUUUUUAUAAUAAAGUUUAGAUUGAAUUAUGAUAAAUUUAAUUAAAUAUAAUUUAAAUAUAAAUAAUUAAGAUUAAGAACUUUAACUUAUAUAAAGUAUUCUAAAGUUAAUUUAAAUAAAAUUUAGAUUUAGAAAAAAUAUAUACCUAGAAAUGUAAGAUUCAUAAAAAUAAUAAUAAAUUUAUAUUAUUUUAUAGGUAAUAGAAAUAAUGAUAAAAAAAAAUUACAAAAAUUAUAUGUGUGCUUGUGUAUAUAUAUAUAUUAUAUAUUAUAUGCUAAUUCGUUGCACAUAUUCAUUAUAUAUUUUUUAUAUUAUAAUUUUUUAUUAAUUUUAUAUAUAAUAUAAUAUAAUUAAUUAUAAUAUAUUUUUUGGAUUACUAAUUAAAUUUAGUCUUUUAUUAUUAUAACCGUUGGGUCUCGUCCCCUCCUGAGCUGAGUCAGGGCCCAUGAAAGCGAGACCGGUCCAGAGCUCGGAAUGCACUUAGGCAAGCCUGUCUAGCAGCUCAAGACUAGACCCUAAGACGUUAACCAGGCCAGGCCGCGCUCAAGCUCAAGACCGGCAAGAAGGAAGCCAGCCAGCCCUAUAAUGAGACAUGAGGAGGGGUAGCAGACCCAGUUUUUUCGCAGCCCCACUCGCACGCACAUUGGGAGGAAUUAAAUGGCCGCCUGACAUAGGUAAGGAAACUAACACUGGUAAGGAACUGACACUAUUAUAUAUUUGAAAUAUGAAACUUUUGAAAUAUAUUUGGAAUGAAACUUUUUGUUAAAAUACAUGUUGGUUGAAUAUCGAAACUUUAUGAAUAGUACACCGAAUAGUAUUUUAAAAUUAAUACUUUUAUUUCAAACAUUUUGAUUUAUUUUUACAAAUACCUUGUAUUAUUUUCAAAUUUAUAUUGAUUAUCUUAAAUGAUUUUAAAUUUAAUCUUAUUAAAAAAAUAAAUAAAUAAGUACUUUUAAAUUUGAGAAAAGUGAAUGAUUUUAAAGUUUUUAAAAUGUUAAUUCUGCAGAAAAAUUUUUAAUUUCGGAGGUAUUUUUGAUCUCCUAACUAACUUUCGGUCCCCUAACCUUCAUUUUCGGGGCACACUAAAGUAUGAAAGAAAAUUUAAUUUUGACAUUUUUUUUAUAUUUAUCUUUGAAUAUUUUAUAUGUUAAUCAUUUUCUCUUUAUUUUUUGAUAUUUCUUAUUUUUUCCCUCAUGUGUGGAUAUUUUUCUUACCUUUUGGUUAAAUUUUUUUCCCCUUUUUGGUACUUUUAUUUUCUUUUAAUGAUGUCAAAAGGGGGAGAUAAGUGUGUGUUGGAUGAUGUUUGAAAAGGGAGUUGAUAUAUAUUUAUGUUUAUUGGUUAUCUAUCAUGAAUGUCUUGAUGACUACUUUAUUUUGUAUUUUUUUUUUUAUGGUUAUAGUUCUUGUUGAGAUGCUCUAUUUUAUCUUUUUUUAUAGGUUUAUUCAUUCAUAUAGGAUUCAUUGCAUCUUAUUUUAUUGAGUCAAAACUUUUCUUACAUGUCUCUUCGAAUUUUAAGUAUGGCAUAAAUUAUUUUUGAAAGAGAAAGCACAUUAAGAAAUAUAAAUUUUCUAAAAUCUACACACUACGCUUGUUAUUAUUAUAUUAUCAUCCACCAAUUGUUUGUCAUCAUAAAAAAGAGGAGAUUAUUGGACCUAAGUAUUUUAAUCCUUAUUUUGAUAACUAAUAAACAAUUGGUGUGCUACUAAUUAUUUUUAAAAGUAUUUGUGUGAGUUUGUAGGCCCCUAAUUUAAAUAAAUGGAAUUGCUUCAUUUUCAAGAAUAAAAAGUGCUAAGAUUGGAAGCAUAUUGCAAAAAAAAAAAUCAAAAUAUAAUUUUUAGUUUAUGCACUGUGAAUUUUGAUUAAUUAAUUGUGCCAACUCAAUUUUUUUUUUAAUUUCUAAAACUUAUAAAUAUGGCCAAUUUUUAAGAAAUUGUCUUUAGGGACCAAUGAAAUUUGAUAUAUGAAGUUUUUUUGAAGAUAUUUUUAUAUCAAAUAAGAUAUUUCAAAUUAUAUGUUACAAAAAUUCGAAUAGAAUAAAAAUUGAAAGUUUAUAACUUAAAUUUUUGCUCCAUAACUCUUUGAGGGACCAAAAUGAAAAUUUUCAAAUGAAGUGCUUUUAAAAUUAUUUUUUAUCCAUUUAAAAGAUAUUAAAAUAUAGGUUACAAGGAUUCAAACGGAUUGAAAAUUAAAAUUUUGUAGACUAAGUUAUGAAUUUUUAAAAAUUUAAUAAAAUAUUUUUAUACUCCUAAAGUCAAUGUUAAACUUACGAGAGUGGAGAAGCAGAGACAAAAUUUCAAAUGUUCGGCAGCUAAAUAUUGAGACUUUAGGCCGCCGAAUGUCUGUUUUCAAGAAAUUGUAUUUUCACCUCUAAAGGUUCGGCCGAUAAACCUUAACCUUAGACUGUUGAAUCUAAGUUUUUCUAAACAGAAAAUAGUGGCUAUUUCAGUACACAAAUCACUCUAUUUUUAUUUAAUGCAUUCCCAUUGGCCAUAUUUAUGUUCAAAAUAUAAAUAUAAUGUAUUUUUUACCUGAAGACAGUCACAACAAUUAUCUAAACACAUAUUUAUUGAUAUUCAAAUUUUUCAUAUUUUUUCUCUCUCUAAAUCUUAAGUCAUAACAUUAAUUUCUUAAAAACUAAUUUUGAGUUGUAAUUAAUUUGUCUUUUAACUUUGGAUUCUGAAUAAAAUAGAAUAAUAAAAGAUGAGUCGUGUUGGAUACUGUCUACUUAUUCAUACUAGCCUUUACACUAAAUUUGAAUUUUAUGUUUCUUAUUCUGGCUAGAAUUAUACAUAUUUAUAUAUAUAUAUAUAUAUAUAUAUAUUUAUUGUUGUAAAUAGGGGUAAGUAUUCGGUCGGUUCAGUUUUAGUAUUUAUAAAAAUUGAACCGAAUCGAUUUUGAUCAAAAAUCAAAUCGAACUAAAUUGAUCUGAUUCGGUUUGAUUCAGUUUGAUUUAAUCGGUUUGAAUUUUUAAGAAAUUUUUAAUUUUUUACACUUUAUUUUUCGUAUUUUAAAAUUUAAUUAAAAUAUUUUAACUUUAAUAUGAUAUAAUUUCUCUAUAUUAUUAAAAAUAAUAUAUUAUUAUCACUAAUCAAUUCGAUUCAAUUUUUUCAAUUUUUUUCUAAUCAAAAUUAAACAGAAUCAAACUAACCAAAAUUUUUAAAAUUAAAUAUCAAAUCGAACCCAAAUAAAUAAAAAAUUAAACUGAAAUUUUAAAUUAAUUAGAUUUGGUCGAUUUUUUCGAUUUGAAUUGAAUACUGUUGAUCCAAACGGUACGAAUUUAACGGUAAAUAAAAUUUAUAAAUAAAUGCAAAUAACCAUAACAGUUUUAUUAAUGGAUGUUGAAAAUAUUUUUUUUAUUUUAUAAAUAAAUUUUACAUCGAUUUGAAAAUAUAUUUUGUAUUUAUUUAAUUUUAUAAAUCGAUUAAUCGUAUAAAUUUAUUUAUAUUUAUUUAAUUUGAUAAAUAAAUAAUAUAUCUAUGAAUAUGUUUAUAUUCAAUUAAUUUAAUUUAAUAUAUAUAUAUAUAUUUGUGAAUUGUGUAUAUCCACUUAAUUUUACAAAUAAAUUGUAUGUUUUGUUUGUAUUUAAAUUGUAUGUUUUGUUUGUGUCUAUUUAUUCAAAUGGAUUAUAGGUUUAUUUAUGAAUCUAUUUAUACUCAUUUAAUUUUAUAAACAAAUUACAUAUUCUUUUGAGAAGUCAUAAUUGUACAAAUGAGUUAUAUGUCUGUUUGUAAAUAUUUUUAUACUCAUUUAAUUUUAUAAACAAAUGAUAUUUGUGGAUAUUUUUAUGAAUGUGUUUAUAUUCAUUUAAUUUUACAAACGGAAUACACGUUGGUUUACAAAUCCAUUUAUAUUUAUUUAAUUUUAGUGUAAAAUUAUUUAUAUCUAUUUAAUUUUAUAAAUAAAUUAUACGUCAGUUUAAUAAACUUAUAAAAUUUUUUAACAAAUAAAUUUAAACUUUAAAAAGAUCCGCUCAAUUCGAUCAUACUCUUUUAACUAUUUGAAUUACAACUAAAUUUACCAGUAGAUUAGCGAUUUAUAUGUUAUUAAAUUUACAAAUGAAUAAAUUUUUUAAAUUAUAAAUAAAUUUAUAAAUAGAUUAAUUAUUUAUAUUGCAAAUAAAUUGUAUGCUAAUUAAUUGUAUCACAAAUGAAUUUACAAACUGUUUAUAUUAUAAACAGAUUUAUAAAAUCUGAUUGCCUGUUUAUAUGUAAAAUUUAGUAUAUAAACAAAAAUACAAACGAAUACUGUCACAGAUGAAUUUAUAAACCGUUUGUAUUAUAAUCAGAUUUAUAAAAUUUGAUUGUCUGAUUAUAUGUGAAAUUCAAUAUAUAAAUAAAAAUAUAAACAAAUAUUAUCACAAAUAGAUAUUCCGUUUAUAAUGUGAAUGGAUUAUUUUUAUUAGAAAAAAACAGCAAAUAAUAUUUUUAUGGAUAAAAGUAUGUUGGUGAUCAGUUUAUAAAUUAAAUUACAAAUGAAUUUAUCUUUUUAUAAAUUUAAUUUCUUUUAGUGUAUAUUAUAAUUUUAAUUUCAUGUAAAUAUUGAUGAUCGAAGUGCAUUUUAAUUUAAUGAGUAUUAGUUAGUAUUUGGAUAUAAAUUAGAUAAUAUAUUCCUAUUUAUACCUAGAGAUUUAAAUAAAUUUUGAAAUUUAUUUUAAAUAAUAAUUAACUUAAAUAGAAUUUUAUUUGAGAUAAAAUUACAAUUUCAUCGUGAAUAUAAAUAAAUUUGAAUUAAGACUAAUUUGUUUUAAAUAAAAUAAAUUUUAAAUAAUAAUUAAUUUUUUUUAUUUUAUCUUAAGUAAUACUAUCAUGAAUGAAUGCAAAUUUUGGUUUUUUGUUCUUUCUAUAUUAAAUAGAAGUUCAAAAUUUUAAUCUUUUAGAAUUUUAAAAGUAUUUAAAAUUAAUUUACAUAAUAAAUUUAAAACAAAUUAAUUUAAAUAGCUUUUUACUAAUAUAAAUAAUAUAAAAAAAAGUAAAGGAACGAUUGAAAAUCUUAUUAUUUCACUCUCCUUCCACGUUUAUAGAGGAAUAUAUUGCAACACACAUUAUAUAUAUUGUUAUAAUUAUGCAAUAUUAUUUUAAUUUCAAUAUUUAGUGUGCAACUUUAAAUGAUCCAACAUCUCCUAAUUGUAAACUUUUUGAUGUGGAAGGAUAUCAGGUAAUAAUUCGGUCGAUUCAGUUUAAAAUUGAAUUGAAUUAAAUAAAUUAAAAAUUAAAAUUUUGAUAUUUAUGAAAAUCAAAUCGAAUUAAUUUUGAUCAAAAAUCAAAUUGAAUCGAAUCGAUCUGAUUCAAUUCGAUUAAUUUAAAUUUUUAAUAAAAUUUUUAUUUUUUAAUAUUUUAUUUUUAAUAUUUUAAAAUUUAAUUAGAAUAUUUUAACUUUAAUAUAAUUUAAUAUCUUUAUAUUAUUAAAAAUAAUAUACUAUUAUUCCUAACCAAUUCAAUUCAAUUUUUUUAAUUUUUUCUGAUUAAAAUCAAAUUAAAAUUUUUAAAAUUAAAAAUCAAACUGAAUCGAAAUAAAUAAAAAUUUAAAUUAUAUUUUUAAAUUAAUUUAAUUCGAUUUACAAUGCUGAUCCUAACAUAAGGUAAUGCUCGGAGAAAACACAUCUAUUGUAAAGGUAAUGUUCGGAGAAUUACACUGAAGCAUUGCAUUCUGGAUAAUUAAAAUUCACUCUUACUAUUUCACUCUCCUUGUUUUCAAUUUUUUCUAUUAUAUUUCUCAUUUAGAAUGGAAGUAUUUUUCUUUCAAUUUACAAAAUAUUUUAAUUUUAAAGAAAAUAAAAUGGUAUAUAAUUUUAAUACAACUCAUUUAAAUUCUUUUCUGCUAAUUUCCAAGAAAAAAAACAAAGAUUACGUUUUUCAUCAAAAGUGCGCUCAUGAGCUGUAAAACUUGAGUUGAGCGUCCAAAAGAAUUGCCAUCUCCAUUGUUUUAACUUGCCACUUGCCCCUUGCCACCCACCUCUCGAUCAUGGACAUUUAAGUCAAGCCACUAGCUAAAAAAAUUAAGAGAGGGAGAGAAAGGAAGAAGAAAGAAAGAAAACUUCAAACACAAAUUGUGAUACCACCAUUCCGCUUGAUCUCCAUAUCAUGCCAUGAUAGUGUGAAAAUUGUACAGGAGAAUGCAUAUAGAGACUAAGGUAAAAACUAGAAAUAAAUCCAUUGCAAUAUCAUGGCAGUUGCAGGUGCAUGGCAAAUAAAAAGAACAAAAACCAAGUUCCUUUCCCAUGUAACAUUUAGACAGAAAAGCAAUUAUGCUCAAUUCUCGUAAUCAAAGUGUUAUUUUAUUUCAUCACUUCAUGCCAUCAAGCUGUGAAAAAGACAGUAUCUUCCUGCCUACCAUAUCGAGAAACAUAAAAUAAAACAUCAAACAAAUCAAUGUUUGUAAUCAACUCGCUCCAGGUUCACCGAAUCCUGCAAAUAGAAGGCAAUGACUUCAAUAUGAAGAAAUAUAUAGGUGAUUCAAAAAACAUACACAUAUACACCAGUGUGCAAAUGUAUUAGAAAAUGUUGUCAAACAGUGCAAGGAAAACAACAGCUCAAAUGAACAUGGUAAGGUCCCUGUUUCAAAAUAAAUAAAUAAAAACAAAUUAACUGGCAAAGAAUUGCUUAAAGAUAUAACUUCGUGUAAGAAAAGGCUCAUUUCAACUGUAGUGCUUGAUCAAAGAUUUAUCAAUCAGACAUGAGAUAGAGAGACUGACAUCAGUAACCGUUGACUGACAUUCCCAAUACAUGCUACAACUUGAACUAACAUAAGCUCAUUGCAAGAACCUAAUUUUUCUUCCAUUUUUCAUCAAAGAUCAUAAGGUUCAUAUUCACCAUAUUUAGCCUCAAUAUCCAAACCAUGACAUUACAGAAUACAAAUACUUUUUAAAAUACUCCUGCAGUUCCUUAGCAUGGGCAGAAGACAACAUUAUUACACCCUCCCAUCAUCCUUAAUCUUUUCUGUGGUUCAUUUCUUCUCAUUAGAAUUUAACUUGAAAAAUGUACAGGCCACAAGAAUUGAGAAGACAUUGCAGAAAAUAUAACAAGAUUCCAACUUAAGAAAACACAUAACAAAUGUUUCAAAAUUGGGAUAAUGGUAAUGAUUUGAAUGUUAGAAGCUGAGCAGCAAAGUACUAUUGUUUUUAAAACUUUUUUCACCCAAAUUUCAUAGAUACGGAUAUUUACUCAGACAGUGCUAAGUAAUAAAAGAUUCAAAAUCAAGAGUGUAAAUAAAUGUAUUACAAUAGUAUUUGUUCAACCAUUUAUUUCAUAAUGAAUUUUUAUAAACUCAAAAGCCUAUGCACUAGGCAAUUCUUAAUUUCCUUAUUUUUGGAAAAUAAAUCCAUAGACAUGUUUCUACACAUUCAUGUAGGUGGGUUUCCUCAAUCUUAUCCUUUUCAGUUAUCUAUCAAUCUAGAAAUCUCAUAUCUCCCGUCCAAUGAGAAGGAGCAGAAGUCUAUUUAUUAGGAUUUCAGCCUCUUGCUUGUACAAAUGUUACACGGCAUAGCCACUUGUUCAACGAGCAGCGUCCACUACUUUGAUCAUUCUUUUACUAGUAUUUAUCUCUCAGCAAUUCUUCCUCCUGUAAAGUUCAAUUAUAGUCCAGUCCCACUGAUAAAUAGAUAUGCCUUUCUGCUCCUUGUGGUAUUAUAGCUACUUGCUUGUACAAAUAUGCAUGAUAUAGCCACACGGAACAAAAGCAACAUCCACUACUCAGAUCAUUUCUUUUACUAGUAUUCAUUCUCUAAGCAAUUCAUCCUCUUGUAAAUAUUCAAUGAUAGUUCAGAAUCCAUUCCUGCAGAAAUGUCUAUUUUCCAUUUGGGAUAUACAUUUCCUUUCAUCUUAUGCAGAAAAAAGUAUACACUAACUGAAUCAACAAUCAUUAAAAUCCUAGCCUGUAACACUCCAUAUCUAGAUUCACAAAACAAAGGUAAUAGGGGCAAAAUUCAUUUUUAAAAAGAAUAUAUUAAAUUGCAACAUACCACCACUGUAGACAAAAACUUCACACAAUUUAGCUAACAAAUUCUAAUAGCUUCUUCCUGUGUUAAAGUUCCAUCAUGAACAAACAAGAUAAUCUAUCAAACAACACCAGAAACAACAUGUGGAAAAUCAAAACGAAUCUCAUAUUUGGAGUUUAGCACAUGUAAUAUUUGCAAGUCACUGACUUACAGCAACAAACAAUUAAUCUUAUCGAGGCCACUAACACAACCAAUCAAGUUAAAAGAAAUAUAAGGGGGAAUAGGAAGAUCCUAGAGUUAGAGCCACUCAUCCUUUUCCACUCUUUACCCUACCUGCAACCCCAAAACGAGAAAGGUAAAAAAAAAAUGAUAAAUAGCAUCCAUAAAUCAAAUCAAAUGGAUGCAAUCCAAGACCUAAUAAAUGGUCACAUUUUCCAAAAUCUGGAAACAAACGUUCUUCAAGCAUCCAGACGAAGAAAAUUAACUAAUUGCUCAACAAAUAUAAUGGCCAUUUAAAAAAACCCAUAUCACUCAAAUGCCAAGACACUCUUUCAAUCCAUUAAACUCCAGAACUACUUUACCAAAUCCGAUGUAUCACAUCACCAGAAUGAAUCAGAUUAUGUAA